rnacentral:rRNA from 1 species
AAGCGCUUGCAACCAGACUUGCGCGGGGUCGAUCAUCCGGUGUUCGCACCGGUGCACUCGGCCACGCGCAGGCCAGCAUCGGUUUGGGUGGUUGGAUAAAGGCCUUGGGAAUGUGGCUCUCUCCGGGGAGUGUUAUAGCCCAAGGUGCAAUGCGGCCUACCCGGACCGAGGACCGCGCUCCGGCUAGGAUGCUGGCGUAAUGGUUGUAAGCG